AGAACGAACGCUGGCGGCAUGCCUAACACAUGCAAGUCGAACGCCUGUAGCAAUACAGGAGUGGCGCACGGGUGAGUAACGCGUGGGAACCUACCCUGGAGUGGGGGAUAACCGAGGGAAACUUCGGCUAAUACCUCAUACGACCUGAGGGUGAAAGAUUUAUCGCUCUAGGAGGGGCCCGCGUCGGAUUAGCUAGUUGGUGAGGUAACGGCCCACCAAGGCGAUGAUCCGUAGCUGGUCUGAGAGGAUGAUCAGCCACACUGGGACUGAGACACGGCCCAGACUCCUACGGGAGGCAGCAGUGGGGAAUAUUGGACAAUGGGGGCAACCCUGAUCCAGCAAUGCCGCGUGAGUGAUGAAGGCCUUAGGGUUGUAAAGCUCUUUCGGCGGGGACGAUGAUGACGGUACCCGCAGAAGAAGCCCCGGCUAACUUCGCGCCAGCAGCCGC
rnacentral:rRNA from 1 species